AUGGGGCCACAGCCACGCCUGCUCACCUUCCUGAUGCUCUGGGUCUCAGGUGUCUGUGGGGACAUCGUGAUGACCCAGUCUCCCAGCUCCGUGACUGCAUCUGUAGGAGAGAAGGUCACUAUCAACUGUAAGUCCAGCCAGAGUGUGUUAUCCAGCUCCAACCAGAAAAGCUACUUAAACUGGUACCAGCAGAGACCUGGACAGUCUCCUAGGCUGCUCAUCUACUAUGCGUCCACCCGGGAAUCGGGGAUCCCUGAUCGAUUCAGCGGCAGUGGGUCCACAACAGAUUUCACUCUCACGAUCAGCAGCGUCCAGCCUGAAGACGCGGCAGUGUAUUACUGCCAGCAGGCUUAUAGUGCUCCCUCACAGUGA